rnacentral:rRNA from 1 species
GACGAACGCUGGCGGCGUGCCUAAUACAUGCCAGUUGAGCGAUGAAGAUUGGUGCUUGCACCAAUUUGAAGAGCAGCGAACGGGUGAGUAACGCGUGGGGAAUCUGCCUUUGAGCGGGGGACAACAUUUGGAAACGAAUGCUAAUACCGCAUAACAACUUUAAACAUAAGUUUUAAGUUUGAAAGAUGCAAUUGCAUCACUCAAAGAUGAUCCCGCGUUGUAUUAGCUAGUUGGUGAGGUAAAGGCUCACCAAGGCGAUGAUACAUAGCCGACCUGAGAGGGUGAUCGGCCACAUUGGGACUGAGACGCGGCCCAAACUCCUACGGGAGGCAGCAGUAGGGAAUCUUCGGCAAUGGACGAAAGUCUGACCGAGCAACGCCGCGUGAGUGAAGAAGGUUUUCGGAUCGUAAAACUCUGUUGGUAGAGAAGAACGUUGGUGAGAGUGGAAAGCUCAUCAAGUGACGGUAACUACCCAGAAAGGGACGGCUAACUACGUG